CCGGCCUCCUUCGACCCCCCUCCGCUCCUACGUCUCCUACGUGAAAAAAGCGACCACCCGCGUGCUUCCCUCCCCCCACCAACGAUCCAGGCGGCGUACCGCCCUAUCCAACCGCACUACCCUAUGCCAUGUCGCCGCUCCGCCGCGCUUCAUCUUUGUCAAGCCGCCGGGAGAUGGGAAGCGGGCCCCUUCUCUAUUGAUGAGGUUAUACCGGAGGUUGCACAACAGUUCGGGAGGUCAAGGUUGACCAUAGCCCAAGAUCCCGGGCGACGAUCGGGCGACCGGCCAAGCACUGGCGGACAUCACAAAUCAAAUGAGGCAGCGGUGUGGUGUCCAUGUUCCCGUCGGCGCGCGAAGCCCCUCUGCGUGGUUGUCUUAUGUGACUCCUCUGCAAGGUCACCUCCACGCAGCGGCAGAAUUGUUCGACGAGUUCAUCCGGGGACUGCGCAUGGAGCACGGCAAUGUCUCCACCCUGUCGUUGCUCAACAACGACCUCGAGACGACCGGCUUGGGGUUUCCCGCUUGUCGUUGAGGCCUUCCGCGACUCAGUCCACAGCGCCGCCUGCUUUGGCCUGAUCGGGAAUUCGGGAUAGAAGACGUACAACCACCCAUAAGUUUCUCUUCCUUCUCCUUUCUUAACUUUUUGUAAUAUCCCGAAUCAUCUAUUUCAUCAUCACCAAGAUACAGCCAUACAUGAGAGUUUGCGAAUGGGGAAUUGGAGAUACGAGGAGGAAGCAGGGGGUGAGGUUCAGAGAACGAGGGAGAGAGAGUUCAGGGAGUUCAGAGAACGAGGGGGUGAGGUUCCCAGGAGAUACGAGGAGGAAGCAGGGGGCCAGCUCACAAAGCUCUCUCGCAUGGAUAUUCUGAGCCAGGCGACUUAUUCCCGCUGACACAGGCGUAGGUGUGACAAUUUUGUACGGUUCUCUUCUCCGUCUGAUGCCUAAUAGAGAAUUCGAGUAAAAAAGUCCAGCUUGAUUUCUUAAUUAUGAUCUGCACUAAUAGUACAGAUGCAUAUUCUCUCAAAUUUUAUACGGUUCUCUUCUUGGUCUGAUUCCUAAUACAAAACCUGUGCUGGAUCUUGAUUUAUUGGUUAUGAAAUGCACUAUUAUUUUUGGUCAGAUUCUUCCAGCAACUUCUAAUGGAGAUGGGAUAAUAGUUCCAGGAUAAAGAAGAGGUAUGAGCAUGGACUUCUAAUACUUCUCUAUAAGUUUGACAUUUUUUGACACUUCCUACAAAAAGAAAGUAAAUCUGUCAUUGCUGGGACGUAGUCCACGAGAAAAUGUGCUUUUCAGUUCCGUAAACAUUGUGAGAGUUUUGCUUGAUCUGUAACUGAAAUCUGAUAGUCUUGUUGUGUUUGUUACGCCAUUAUGUAUGUGGAAUAGUCUUCUUGUUGUGAUGAAUAGGCGCAGGGGCAGCAAUCGGAGGAGAGUGGGGCCGAUGGGGUGGAGAACGACGAGGUCGCACGGAUGGAUGUAGCAGCACAUCAGAGUUAACUUCAUAUUUCUCGCUGACAAUUAUUUUGCUUGUACUUAGUAUCCCACAUCAUGUUAGUGCUGCAUCUAUCUUAUUUGUUUACUGAAACUAGGAGUAGUAGUACAUCAUAGUUGUUGCUGAAAAUACUCCUACGACAGGUGAUAUUGCUUUAAUCAUAAAUGAAUUGCCGUGGGAUUAUAUAAUCUCGACGAUUAGAUGAAGAUGAUAAACAAUGUCAUUGUCUUGGUUGUUUGGAUGAUUUGGAAGGAACGAUACAACAGAGUUUUGAAGGAAAAUCCUCCCGUUUGGAUCGCACGUCGAACAAAUUAAGUGUGAUGCGCACAACUGGUAUAAGUAGGGGCCAAAUUUCUUGCACAGUUGUUUGUUUAACAUAACUGCUCUGUUCUUCUCAGCUUAUCCCAUUUUUCACAACAUGUUCUGGGAGUAUCAAGCAUUUAUUUUCAAGGUCGACAGUUCCUCGUCGAACGGUGGACCUUUUACCAAGUAUGGGGUCGCUUCAGGCAAGAGGAAUAAUCUUUCCUUCGCUGUUAUCUUGGUCGCAUGCUCCUUUCAGCAAGAACGUAACAACUUGAUGUUUGAAUGGUUCAAGGCUGAUGCUUUGUGCUUUGUAUCUCUCUGUCCGACAAGGUUUACGGUUUGUGUUUCGGCAGUUACCUUCUUUUCCUAUGUAGGUUGUGAUGAGGUUGUUCUUUUCUUUUGAGCUUUGUACUGUGAGAUUAGAUAUUAUUAUUUCUUCUAUAAUGAUCAAAUACACUUCUCUUGCAUGGUUCCGAAAAAACACCUCCAUUUAAUAUUCUUACAGUUUUAAUCAUAUAUGAACUGCUAAGGAACCAUACCACCUUUCUGUUUUACUGCUAUGGUUUAUUUACUAGCUAUUUUACUUCAAGUAGUCGAUUUAUAUUUAUUUUAUGAAACAAGUAGAUUUAUAUUUAUGAGCAUGCACUUGCAGUUCAGUAAACUGGAGUAUGGUAAUUCAUUCUCCAUGAAGAAUGACAAAAAUGUUGCACCUUAAUUAGGUAUUGUUUUCUAUGUUUUUAGUUAAGAUUUUUUAGCACAAUUUUUCCUUGAUAUUCAUAUUCAUAUUUAAGGUCCAUACCAGUGUACCGCCAACUAUUGUUUUGACUACCUUUUGUUGAUGUGAACCAAUCUCUUUGAAUAUUGUCAGAUAGUUUUGAUCAUAAAUGAAUUGUCGCAGAAUUAUAUAAUCUCCAUGAUUACAAUGCCUCGAUUUAAUAUUCUUACAGUUUUAAUCAUAUGACCUUUCUGUUUGACUACUAAGAUUUUUUUACUACUAGCUAUUUUAUUUGCAGUAGUCAAUUUAUAUUGUGUUUUGAAACAAGUAGAUUUUUAUUUAUGAGCAUGCACUUUCAGUUCAGUAAACUGGAGUAUGCAUUAAUUCAUUCUCCAUGAAGUAAUGAUGGAAAUGUUGCACCUUAAUGAGGUAUUAUUUUCUAUGUUGUUUUUAAUACGUUUUGUACUACAAGAGGCACUAAACAUAGGACUUGUAGUGUAACUGGAUCUAUACAUGAUUAAGUAUAUAUACUCAAGUA